GAUGAACGCUGGCGGCGUGCCUAAUACAUGCAAGUCGAGCGAACAGACGAGAAGAUUUUCCCUCUCUGGCUUGCGCGGGGCGGGGGGGUGACACAUGGAGCAAACCCACCUAUUACACGGGGAUAAACGCGGGAAACCUGAGAUUAUCACGGAAUAUAUUUAACCGCGCAGAACAAUAGAGCAACAGACGUUUCUCGUGUCACUUAUAUGUUGACGCGUUGGCUAGUUGAGUGGGUAAGGGCUCACCAAGGCAACGAUCCGUAGCCGACCUGAGAGGGUGAUCGGCCACACUGGAACUGAGACACGGUCCAGACUCCUACGGGAGGCAGCAGUAGGGAAUCUUCCGCAAUGGGCGAAAGCCUGACGGAGCAAUGCCGCGUGAGUGAAGAAGGUCUUCGGAUCGUAAAACUCUGUUGUUAGGGAAGAACAAGUACGUGAGUAACUGAACAUGUCUUGACGGUACCUAACCAGAAAGCCACGGCUAACUACGUG
rnacentral:rRNA from 1 species